GUCUACAGCCAUGCCACCCUGAACAAGCCCGAAAACAUCUGAUCUCGGAAGCUGAGCAGGGUUGGGCCUGGUUAGUACUUGGAUGGAAGACCACCUAGGAAGACCAGGUGCUGUAGGCA
rnacentral:rRNA from 1 species